UACGUAGGGGGCGAGCGUUGUCCGAAUUUAUUGGGCGUAAAGCGCGUGUAGGCGGCUCUUUAAGUCAGAUGUGAAAUCUUGCGGCUCAACCGCAAAACUGCAUUUGAUACUGGAGGGCUUGAGUAAGGGAGAGGAAAGUGGAAUUCCUGGUGUAGCGGUGAAAUGCGUAGAUAUCAGGAGGAACACCCAUGGCGAAGGCAGCUUUCUGGCCUUUUACUGACGCUGAGACGCGAAAGCUAGGGGAGCGAACGGG
rnacentral:rRNA from 1 species